UACGUAGGGUGCGAGCGUUAAUCGGAAUUACUGGGCGUAAAGCGUGCGCAGGCGGUUCUCCAAGUCCGUUGUGAAAGCCCCGGGCUCAACCUGGGAAUGGCAGUGGAAACUAGGGGACUGGAAUCUGGCAGAGGGGGGUGGAAUGCCGCGUGUAGCAGUGAAAUGCGUAGAGAUGCGGCGGAACACCGAUGGCGAAGGCAGCCCCCUGGGCUGAGAUUGACGCUCAUGCACGAAAGCGUGGGGAGCAAACAGG
rnacentral:rRNA from 1 species